AUACCGUCGUAGUCUUAACCACAAACUAUGCCGACUAGCGAUUGGGCCUUGACCUUUGGUCAGGUUCAGCAGCUUAGCGAAAGUAAAGUCUUUGGGUUCUGGGGGGAGUAUGGGACGCAAGGCUGAAACUUAAAGGAAUUGACGGAAGGGCACCACCAGGAGUGGAGCCUGCGGCUUAAUUUGACUCAACACGGGGAAACUCACCAGGUCCAGACAU
rfam:Absidia glauca strain CBS 101.48 genome assembly, contig: contig_2173